UACGGGGGGUGCAAGCGUUACUCGGAAUCACUGGGCGUAAAGAGCAUGUAGGCGGAUUAAUAAGUUUGAAGUGAAAUCCUAUAGCUUAACUAUAGAACUGCUUUGAAAACUGUUAAUCUAGAAUGUGGGAGAGGUAGAUGGAAUUUCUGGUGUAGGGGUAAAAUCCGUAGAGAUCAGAAGGAAUACCGAUUGCGAAGGCGAUCUACUGGAACAUUAUUGACGCUGAGAUGCGAAAGCGUGGGGAGCAAACAGGAUUAGAUACCCUGGUAGUCCACGCCCUAAACGAUGUACACUAGUUGUUGUGAGACUUGAUCUUGCAGUAAUGCAGUUAACACAUUAAGUGUACCGCCUGGGGAGUACGGUCGCAAGAUUAAAACUCAAAGGAAUAGACGGGGACCCGCACAAGCGGUGGAGCAUGUGGUUUAAUUCGACGAUACACGAAGAACCUUACCUGGACUUGACAUAGUAAGAACUUUCUAGAGAUAGAUUGGUGUCUGCUUGCAGAAACUUAUAUACAGGUGCUGCACGGCUGUCGUCAGCUCGUGUCGUGAGAUGUUGGGUUAAGUCCCGCAACGAGCGCAACCCUCGUGUUUAGUUGCUAACAGUUCGGCUGAGAACUCUAAACAGACUGCCUACGCAAGUAGGAGGAAGGUGAGGACGACGUCAAGUCAUCAUGGCCCUUACGUCCAGGGCUACACACGUGCUACAAUGGGAUAUACAAAGAGCGGCAAUACGGUGACGUGGAGCAAAUCUUAUAAAAUAUCUCCCAGUUCGGAUUGUAGUCUGCAACUCGACUACAUGAAGUUGGAAUCGCUAGUAAUCGUAGAUCAGCUAUGCUACGGUGAAUACGUUCCCGGGUCU
rnacentral:rRNA from 1 species